rnacentral:rRNA from 1 species
UACGAAGGGGGCUAGCGUUGCUCGGAAUCACUGGGCGUAAAGGGCGCGUAGGCGGCCGGCCAAGUCGGGGGUGAAAGCCUGUGGCUCAACCACAGAAUGGCCCUCGAUACUGGACGGCUCGAGACCGGAAGAGGUUGGUGGAAUUGCGAGUGUAGAGGUGAAAUUCGUAGAUAUUCGCAAGAACACCGGUGGCGAAGGCGGCCAACUGGUCCGGAUCUGACGCUGAGGCGCGAAAGCGUGGGGAGCGAACAGG